rnacentral:rRNA from 1 species
GACGAACGCUGGCGGCGUGCUUAAUACAUGCAAGUCGAACGGAAAGGCCUGCUUUUCCUUGUGGAUUGCGGGUACUCGAGUGGCGAACGGGUGAGUAACAAGUGAGUGAUUUGCACUCAACUUGGGUAUAAGCCUGGGAACCUGGGUCUAAUUAUCGAUAGGACUGCAGGGUGGUGUCUGUGGUGGAAAAUGAUCUUCUAGUGGUUGGGGAUGAGCUCGCGGCCUAUCAGAUUGUUGUUGGGGCUAUGGACUACGAAGGCGGUGACGGGCAGACGGACGGAGAGAGUGCACGACCGAAUUGAGACUGAGUCACGACCCAGACGCCUACGGGAAGCAGCGGUGGUUAAGAUUUGAGAGAGGGCGGGAGCCUGAUGCGGCGACGCCGCGUGGGGGAUGACGGGCUUCUGGUUGUAAACUCCUUGCGACCGCGAGAAGUCCACCUAGUUGGAAGGGUGGUGACGGUAGUGGUAGAAGAAGCACCGGCUAACUACGUG